rnacentral:rRNA from 1 species
UGGGGAAUAUUGCACAAUGGGCGCAAGCCUGAUGCAGCGACGCCGCGUGAGGGAUGACGGCCUUCGGGUUGUAAACCUCUUUCAGCAGGGACGCAGCGCGAGUGACGGUACCUGCAGAAGAAGCACCGGCCAACUACGUGCCAGCAGCCGCGGUAAUACGUAGGGUGCGAGCGUUGUCCGGAAUUACUGGGCGUAAAGAGCUCGUAGGCGGUUUGUCGCGUCGUCUGUGAAAUUCUGCAGCUUAACUGCAGGCGUGCAGGCGAUACGGGCAGACUUGAGUACUACAGGGGAGACUGGAAUUCCUGGUGUAGCGGUGAAAUGCGCAGAUAUCAGGAGGAACACCGGUGGCGAAGGCGGGUCUCUGGGUAGUAACUGACGCUGAGGAGCGAAAGCGUGGGUAGCGAACA